UUUGUCUUUGAGCGGCAAAUUGAAUACGUGGUUUUAUUCUACGUUUCAUCUUACACCACAAUAAUUCCCAAAUCCCACACAAUCUUCUCUCAAAUCACCUCCAAAUUAUAAAUGAGUUUUCAUAAUUAAGUAGGAUUGGUAUCAAAAACAUGUCUGUUUCCUUUCACAAACCCUAAAUUUUCACAAGACGACCUAUCAUCCAGUUUCGAUCUCUCAUCCGAACCAGGAAAUUGAAUUGGCUGACGCCGGAAAUCGUGGCCGGAAAACAUGGUGGUGCUUUGGGAACGCGGAUUCGGCACUCACACACAUGUUUCAUUCAUAUUUCUCUCUCAAUAUCAGUUCUUGCUUGUGUAACCUCAUGUGUCCCAGGUAAUAGAUUUCAAGUUUCUGUUAAAUGUAGCAAGGGUUUUUGGUUUCUCAAUCAAACACAAUAUUUUGUGUUGUCUCACUUUUGAUUCGAGAUUUCCCCAAACAAACAUAUCCUACCAGUAGCAAUAACUACAAUUCCGGCUUGCAUUGUGGUAUAUGUCCGGCGAGUGGCAAUACACGGCCUAGAUGAGUUCGUGUUCAACCUCUCAGCCGUACUUCUAAGUUGGAUAUUUGAUAUCCAUUGGCUUAUAGCAAGGACGGAAACCUUAUGAGUCCCUUAAACUGCAUAAUUCGUACUUUCAACUCUACUAUUUUACUUGAAUCACAUUUUUGUUUUUUCAAGUCAAUAAAGAGAAACCUUGGUGAUAUAUUUAGGUGUUUCUAUAUGGAGGAUUGAACUAACAAAGAAUGGGGGUACAUGCUCUUUUAUCUCUUGAAGAUACAUUAUUUCCUGUUUUAUUCCUUAAAGUUCUUUCUUGAACAUGGUUCUUAUUUGUUGGUUCCUUAAUGCCUCUUUAGAAGAAUUUUAGAGCAUCCAGUGAAGAGCAAUGGUAAUAUGAAUACCAACGGGGAAAAAUAGAGCAAUUGUAAUAAGGUUUGUUAUCUUUAUGUUGUGACAAAAAGUUCAGUUUUAGAAGAAUUUUAGAGCAUCCAGUGAAGAGUUUUUUGAAAGGAGUUCGAGCGCGAUUUGAUUAAUAUAUAUGGGCUAAUAAUUGGGGCAAAAUGAUCUUAUGUUUUGAAUCACCAAGGAGAUGGAGGAAACACAAACAAGCGGAGCUUCUAAAUUUUAAAAGUUGCAUACUGAGCAUCAGGUCAGGGAUUCAGGAGCACAGAGAGUGGCACAAGUUCUAUGGUCAACUGGGAAUCUCGAUGAGCCGAUUCCUAGCAGGUUCUAUUCUAUUUUACCGGAAAGAAGACUUAAAGAGAAGUUUGACAUGAUUCCAUCUCUUGAAGACCUUCAUGCCUUCGAAUUAAAAGGGUUUAAGCUCAGUGUAAUUGUUGUUGACUUGCAUAAAGAUAAGAAAGUGUCAAUGUUGCAGCAGCUGGCUUUGACUUUACCUAAAGGGUUGACUUUAAACCUAGCUGUAGUGAUUAAGAAGAUUGGCGAACUGGUUUGUGAUUUUUAUAAACUCCCAAGAGGAAUUAAGUUAUGUGAAAGGGGCAUGGGAAGAAAUCUACAAAAUGCAUAAUGAGGGUAUUCAGAUGUUGGGCCAAAUAAAACACGGUUUUUGUCAUCCCCUUGCUAUUCUUUUCAAAGUUCCUGCAGAUAUGGUUGGCAUCGACUGUAGGCUUAUGGUGGGUUUACCCAAGGAAGGAGAGCUGGAGAGAACCGAUUCACACAGACAUAAUGCACCAACCGAACAAAGCACCCCCACUUCAAGGUUAUAUCUCAGUCACACAAGAUUACAAUUUAGUAGAGAAGUUUUUGUAGCUGUGAAUGUACCAGAGGUUCCUGCGGUUGAGAGAUUUCUAAAAAACCUACCAUUGGACACAACAGAAGCUCAAGCAAGGGUCGUAGCCGUGGCAGAUCCUCGGAGAAAAGUCGCAUAACAAAUAUUUUUAGUUACAUCAUACUUGGUUGUCUCAAUGCUGGUAAAUUUCUUAUCUUUUUUACACAAAUAUUGUUGGAUGUAUUAUAAGACUUUUUGGAAAGGCCUAGAACAAAAAUGAUGAAUUACAUGGGCUUUAAUGCCAGUAGAUAUUAUAUGUUUGUGUUAAGCCACCCGCGAAAUUCGCGGGAUCUUAGACUAGUAAUUAAAUAGAUGAAAAUAAUUUGGGACACUUGGCACGUUGUGGUGUAACCUCAAAGUGAUUUGUGCGGGAAAUUAUAUUAAGUUAUGUAGAUGUGAGAUCCCAAUGUUAUUCAGGUCAGAUUUAUCAAGUCUGGAUACCCACCUUUUGUAAUCGGAUCUAAUAUAAAUUGCAAGAUCUCAAUUAUUUAGAUCAUAAUCUCAAUUCUUCAUCGACACAACUCCGUUUCUCUCUCUCUAACCUAACUAAGUUUUUCCUGUUCUUCUUGAUCUACUUGAACAAUCUCACGAAAUCGAAGUAAGUUUGUUGAUCAAUUAUAUUAUAUGUGAAUGUUUUCGAUUAUGUAGCCUUUAUCAAAAUUGAUUUUCAUGAUAUUAACAUCAUUCUUCUUCUUCUAUCUUUUUAGGUUCGAGCAAUACAAUUAUAGGUAUGUUAUAGAUUCGUGUUUUUUAUACAUUAUAUAGAUUCAGAGUUAUUGAUGUUUGAUUUUUGUUUUAUUUUUUAUUUAAAUCAAUACCAUCGAAUCCUUCAUCAUCUUCUUCCUUCUGCACUCACAAUCAUAGGUAUGUUGUUUGUGUUUGAUUUUAUGUGUUCUUCCUUAAUCCAAGUUACUAAUGUCUUUGUUUUUAUUUUUUAUGUUGAAACCCUAAAUCGGAUGUAACAAUCUUACGAAUAUUGUUCAAUCGAAAAAACAGGUUUGUUCAAUGUUGUUAAAGUUUGUUAUGUUCUAUCAAUUUAAUUAUUUUUUUGUGUGUUUAAAAUCAUAUAUUUAGUUGUAGGUUUUUAAGUAUCGGUUUUCUUCAGUUUAUCUUUUGAUUCAAUGUUUGUAUAUAUUUUAUUUAUAUUUGUUUCUUUCAAUGUCCAGUUUUUUUGUUUGCUAGUAUGCAUUCAUUCAUCUAUCUUUAUAAUAAUAACAAUGUAUAUUUUUUAGAUUGUUUAAAUUUUCAUUCAUGGUUGCUUCCAUCCAUGUAUUUUUAAAAUAAUUACAAUAUUUAUGUUUUAGAUCUUUCAAAUUUGCAACCAUGGUUUCGGUACCGGUACCGAAAACAGAGAAAAGUGAUACCGAUACCGGUACCGAAAAACGGGGAAAAGUGGUACCGGUAGCUGUACCGAAUACACCGGUUCGGUACCGGUACUUACCGAUGUUUUACCCGUAAAUACCGGUACCGAAAAAAGGGGAAAAUGGGAACCAGUACCAGUACUGAAUAUACCCGGUACCAAAUGCUCAUCCCUAACCAUGGUUGUUAAAGAUUAGUUUAAGUUUUAAUUAUAUUUACAAUUUUUCAUUUUUUAGUUUUAUUAGAUUUUUAGAUAUAUGUUUUGAAAUACAAUAAAUAUGCGGUUAUUGUUGCUAAAUGAUUUACAAUUAUAUUAAAGUGUUUUUGCAUUUCAAUUAUUGUUUUUUAAAGUAUGAAAAUAUUUUCAAUUAGAUAUUAUACACUA